rnacentral:lncRNA from 1 species
AUUUAGGACAGUGCUUGGAACAUAGUGAGUGGUCUAUUACAGUGAUUGUCAUUUGGCUUAAUUAUUCAGUGGUCGAUCACUGGACCUACUCUUCCUUGAGCUAAUGUGGCCCUCGCACUGUCUUCCUGGUUACCAGAGCCUGGCUGCUGUGGUGCUCUUCCUGUCCCUCACGCUGGUAGGAAUAACUCCACAUAGGUCUCCAUUUCUGCAGACGUGUGGCACGGUGCAAGUCGCUUAUCUCCUGGCUCCCUCAGCAUCUUCAUUUGUAAGUGGGUCUGAAUUUCCCAGUUAGAGGAGUCUCCGGGUUGUCCAGGCUUUCUUUGCACCUCCCAGCCUCAGGCGGAGACAAAUGAAAGCAGACCUGCUCUGUUGUGACUGUGCCCUAGCUGUG